rnacentral:misc_RNA from 1 species
GAAAUGCGAUAAGUAAUGUGAAUUGCAGAAUUCAGUGAAUCAUCGAAUCUUUGAACGCACAUUGCGCCUAUUAGUAUUCUAGUAGGCAUGCCUGUUCGAGCGUCAUUUCAACCCUCAAGCCCCCGGGCUUGUGUUGGGGACCUGCGGCUGCCCGCAGGCCCUGAAAACCAGUGGCGGGCUCGCUGUCACACCGAGCGUAGUAGCAAUCACCUCGCUCAGGGCGUGCUGCGGGUUCCGGCCGUUAAACAGCCUUACAAAACCCAAGGUUGACCUCGGAUCAGGUAGGAAGACCCGCUGAACUUAAGC